AAAAUUUGGGUGAGGUAAAGCCAUGGCGAGUUGUAUGGGAUACCUACUGUUCCCAUGGCAUACUGCUCAGUAACACAUGUAUCAACUUGCCCUAUAAAGAACAAUAACCUCGGGAAACUGAGGAUAAUAUUUCAUAGUUGAAAAGGCUGGGAAAAGUUUUUCAAUACCAUGGAUAAGGAAAAUGGCCUUUAUCUGCUAUAGGAUAGGAUCGUGUUCGAUUAUGGUUGUUGGCGAGGUAAUGGCUCACCAAGACGAUAAUCGAUAGGGCCCGUGAGAGCGGAAGCCCCGAGAUGGGUACUGAGACAGCGACCCAGGCCUUACGAGGUGCAGCAGGCGCCAAACCUCCACAAUACACGAAAGUGUGAUGGGAUUACCCAGAGUGUUCUAUUAAGAACUGUGGUAAGUGAGUAAUGUUCCCUACUAGAAAGGAGAGGGCAAGGCUGGCGCCCGCCGCCGCGGUAAAACCAUCUCUUCGAGUGGUCGGGAUAAUUAUUGGGCUUAAAGUGUCCGUAGCCGGUUUAGUAAGUUCCUGGUAAAAUCGGGUAGCUUAGACUAUCUGCAUGCUAGAAAUACUGAUAUACUAGAGGCUCGCUAGAGGACUGAGGAACUACAGGGGUAGGGGUGAAAUCUUAUAAUCCUUGUGCGACCACCAGUGGCGAAUGCGACAGACUGGAACGCGCCUGACGGUGACGGACCAGAGCCAAUGCAGCGAACCGCAUUAGAUACCCCGCUACUCCUGUGCGUAACGAUGCAUACUAGGUGAUGGCACGGCCAUGAGCCAUGUCAGUGCCGUAUGGAAGCCGCUAACUGUGCCCCCUGUGAAAGUCGGCCGCAAAGACUAAAACUCCAA
rnacentral:rRNA from 1 species